GGUAAAGAGAAUAUGACUUCCAUGUCGAUAGGAUAGAUGGCUUAAUUUCAAUGAGUGAAGCCAGCCAAAAUUGGCCCUUCUUUAAUGAUAAGGUAAACUUUGAAUUCCAUGUCUUCUUCAACUUUGCCUAGAAGCCUCUAAGUGCUAACACUACAAAGACCAAGAAUUUUGUGCAUCGUUUAGAGGUAACUAAGCUUCCAUUAAAAUGGAAAAUGUCGACGUAGAACUUGGAGAUGUAGACAAUAUCCGUGACACUGUCCAUAUACUUCUUGGUUGUGUCCAAAAAGUGCUGAAUGGUAAGGUGCAAUUUUCACCCAUUUACAUGGCUCCAACUAGGCUCCGAAAUCUCAGUCCCAAUUCUUUCAAUCCACGAGUGGUUUCUAUUGGACCUCUGCACAAAGAAGAUAAAAGCCUGCAAAUAACUGAAGGAGAGAAAUAUACUUAUCUGCAUGAUCUAUUGUCCCGUUUAGAUUCCCCACCUGAGCAAACACUGAAAGCAUGUGCAAAGAAGGUGAAUGCUUCAAUAGAUCGAAUCAGAGCAUGUUACAACGGGAUGAAGACCUAUAGUGACGUCGACCUUGCCAAAAUAAUGGUUAUGGAUGCUUGUUUCAUACUAGAAUUCAUUUUCAAGCUUUUCCGAUAUGGCACAUCAAUUACCUACAACCGAUUGUUUGUCAGGUCUGUUGCUCUAGACCUCGUGUUGAUAGAAAAUCAGAUGCCUUUCUUUGUUCUUCAAGACAUAUUUGAGUGCACUAUUUUGAAAAUGGAUCCAGAAGCCUCCCUUACAACUAUGCUUAGUUAUUUACUAGAAUACAUCAAUCCCUUUUCAGGGAACUUUAAUAUCGAAAAUAUUGGCCAAGAAACAACUCAUGAUCAUAUUCUAGGCCUUCUUCACAAACUUUACCUGCCUUCACAUCCUAAGCCAUCAAACGUUUCCUCACUUCCAAUAGCUCACUCAGCUCUAGAACUCUACAGGGCUGGAGUGAAAUUUCAGCCUAAUAGAAAUAUGACUUGGCCAUUGGCCAUGGACCUGAAAUUCUGUAACUGUAAGCAUCCAAUCUUUUCCUUGUUUGGGGCUAAGCCAAAUCUCAGUAUUCCAGUAAUCUGUAUAAACGAUGUCACCGAGGUGGUUUUGAGGAACCUGAUUGUAUACGAGCAAUACACUCCAGUUUAUAAUUACGUGACCUCAUAUGCCAUGGCAAUGAAUAUGCUAGUUGAUACUCCGGUGGAUAUUUGCAAGUUGGUAGAAUCGAAAGUUGUUAUAAACCAUUUAGGUUCAAAUGAAAAGGCUGCGAAAAUGAUGAACACAAUAUGCAAAGAAGUUACUUUUCAAGAUUUCUAUUACACUGAACAGUGGGAAAACAUGGAUAGAUACUACAACGGUUACUUUCCUAGAAAUCUAGCUAAGUUGAAGAGGUACUAUUUCAGUGGUCCAUGGCAUGUCAUUGUCCUAGUUGGUGGAAUUCUGAUGUUUGCUAUUACUGUGGUUCAAACCAUCUUUACUAUCAAACCUACUUGAUCCCAUAUUUGCUUUGGAGCAGAGAGAACCACCAAGUACUAUAGUUGUUUUCACUUUGGUAUUCUUUAUAGGAUCAGCCAAUAAUACAAAGAAAAAGUCUAUAUAUCAUAGAUCUAUUUCAUUAAAGUGCUAUCUAGAUUAGGUCACGGUCCCCUACCUUUUUCAUCAUCAUGACCACCGACGGUAGCUCCUCCUCUUCUUCAUCUGAUUAUUUUCUUUCUCUUGCGACUAUACUUAAUAUGAUUAGUGUUAAACUCUCUCCUACCAACUUGUUUAUAUGGCGAAACCAGAUGCUUCCCCUUCGUGUAUAUCAGAAGUUGAAUGGCCAUGUUAUGAGCGUCAUUGUCACCCCACCCAAAACCAAAGAUGUUCUCGAAAAAUGGUUCGAAUCAUAUCCACGUCCCUAUCUCAUCACUAUCUUAUCAUUCAGAUAUAUUUAUUAGAGACUGCCAUUUAUCGCUAAAACACUAGGUCUAACCAUUUCUCAUGAGGUUUGGAAAUCUCUUAAAACCUAACUUAUCGUCAGGAUUUAACAGGGACAAAUGGAAACUCUAAAAGAUACUCUUCGACAUUUCAAGAAGGGUUCCUCUACUAUCUCUGAAUAAGGUACUAAAUACAAAGCUACCUGUUACAGCUUGCUACUAUUGGUCACCAAGUUGAUGACAUCGAUAAGAUUCACUGGUUUCUUUGUGGACUUGGUUCUUCUUUUGAGACACCACUCCACUUGCUAUUUCUUUCACUACUCAAUGCCAACAUUCUUCAUGUACUUCUUUGAUGGGAUUUAUUACACUCUAUACAUACUAGUUUAUGCAGCUGAAAACUAAUUAAACCAUAUGUGUACAUGCAUCCUAUGGAUCUAGGUUUUAGUAUUAUAGCAAUCUACUUUAAAACUAGAAAAACACUAACCUGUUGAUCUUCUUGGUUUCUUCAUUGAGAUCUCGUGACAACCACUAUUUUAGGGAUAAUGAGGACGCAAACCAUGAAUCUCUCUUUU